CCUACGGGAGGCAGCAGUGAGGAAUAUUGGUCAAUGGUCGGGAGACUGAACCAGCCAAGCCGCGUGAGGGAGGAAGGUACAGAGUAUCGUAAACCUCUUUUGUCAGGGAACAAAGGCGGGGACGUGUCCCCGGAUGAGUGUACCUGAAGAAAAAGCAUCGGCUAACUACGUGCCAGCAGCCGCGGUAAUACGGAGGAUGCGAGCGUUAUCCGGAUUUAUGGGGUUUAAAGGGUGCGCGGGCGGUCUGUUAAGUCAGCGGUCAAAGCCCGGGGCUCAACCCCGGCCCGCCGUUGAAACUGGCAGUCUCGAGUGGGAGAGAGGUAUGCUGAAUGCGCGGUGUAGCGGUGAAAUGCAUAGAUAUCGCGCAGAACUCCGAUUGCGAAGGCAGCAUGCCGGCUCCACACUGACGCUGAGGCACGAAAGCGUGGGUAUCGAACAGGAUUAGAUACCCCAGUAGUC
rnacentral:rRNA from 1 species